UUAGAAAUCCUCCUAACCUGGGUAUCUUCAACCUAGCAUAUUAUUGCUUCGAUGUCACAACAUACAGCUUUGGGGGUGUUUCAGCAACAGUGCAAAGUUCUACAUUACAGUUCUACAGUACACUAUGACAUCACCCAAAGGCCUGUAGAAUGUUAAAUAUCAUAUCUAAAUAUGAUGGAACGGUGCUUUCACUUAAGCCUCUGAAUCACGUCAGCAUUCUCAUUGUAGCAACUUGUUUUUGAAUCCUCCAUGCAGGCUAAAAAGGCUUUAGGGAAUAUAAGGCUUUCCUCCAGCCAGUGAGCAAGGAUGAGAUUAUUGCUCCAAAGGCCCCUGAGAUCUAUCAGAAAGCAAAAGUCCUGGAUUCCAAAGAGAUCUGGAACAUUCUAAGGGACGAGUCGGAGUCCAAACUGGCUUGGACAGAGACAGCCAUUGACGUGCCCUCCGUGAUCAAGGCGUUUAAUGACAGGAUGGAGUGUCAGAAGCUGCUGGAGGUUCAGGGUCAAGGGAAGUCUAGCCGCCAUAAGAAUUGAGUGCUGCUCAUGUUCAAGGCCUCGGAGGCCAACCUGGACAGGACAGCCCUUACUCAUAGCCAACAACCCCUGCCUGACCUCCAUAACCUGAAGGAGGGUGGCAGCCCCACCAAAUACCUGGCAGGCAACCCCCUCGCACCUGCCCCCCGCCCCC